rfam:Dipodomys ordii contig_88347, whole genome shotgun sequence.
GGGAAGGUGGCUCAGUGGUAGAGCGCUUGCCUUGCAUGCCUGAGGCCCUGGGUUCGAU